GUUUGAGAGACAUUUCAGCAAGCUAUGCCAUUUCCUUGCUUUUCCUGUGAAAGAACAAAGCAGGCUGCUACUGCACAGGUGAUAUUUUUCCCUCUCUGCGGAGUGAGAUGCACUAAUGGCCCUUAUUUACCAAGGUUCCUAAGUCUCCCUUGUCUUUCAAAGAAGCAUAAGCACCUGUGAGACUUACAAAUUUCUGAAAACAGGCUCCAGCUGUUGGUGUCACUUUGGGGGGGGGUUAAAACCUUAAUAUUAUCAUAGCUGUGGACAAUGUUUUACAUUAUUAUGCUAUUUUGUCAGAACAUCAUUCAUAAAGCUAACAAAAGUUAUUAAACACAUUAAAAUAGGAAAUAAUGCACAAGAUUCUUGAAACAUGAGCCUACCUGAGUUCUGCUCUGCAGAUCCUGGGUCCCUCCAGGGACUCUUUUAUGACAGAUUUUAUAGAAUGGACAGCUGGGAACUUGGAUGACACUGCAAAAUUAUUUUUACUUUGAAUCCAGAUGUCUGAAAGUUAGAAAUUAAUGUCUUCCUCUGCUUCAUCAAUGAACCUUCAAAAUGUUGUCCUGUAAUAAGAAACAUCACAGAACUGCAACUUUAUCUCAAGAUUAGAGCUAAUUUCAGCAUAUGUUUUCUGCUGGUGCUUUGUGCAGUGUUGUACUUAGACAAGAGGAGAUUUAAUAGGAAAUGACCUGUAUUGUCAUCAGCAUGGCAUGAUUUCCAGUAGCUGUGGAACAGAUUAGGGUCAUGAGCAGAGCUUUAUCAGCACAGCCCAAUAUGGCUUACACAGGCAGAGAAAGGAGAUAAAUCCACAGCCAUCAAAGUGUCAUCUCUUCAAUCUACCUGGACCUACUUGGUCUCAAUUUCUUGGCCUCCCUGGACCCCUCCAGUGUCAAGACUUCAGCCUCCUUGGAACUCUUUAAAAUCCCCUUUUCAGAUUCUUUGGAUUUAUCCAGUCUGAGUUCUUCAUCCUCUGUGGAAUUCUCCAGUCUCACUUCAUCUUCUCUGGACCUUUCAAGUCUCACAUCUUCAGCCUCUUCGGACUUCUCUAGUACAUCCUCUUCAGUCUCCUUAGAGAUCUCCAGUCUCACCUCUUCAGAUUCCUGGGAGCACUCUAGUUUCACCUCUUCAAUUUCAUUGGACUUAUCAAGUCUCACUUCAUCAGGAUCUCUGGAUCACUCUGGUGACAGUUCUUUAGCCUCCUUAGACCUCUCAAGUCUCACCUCUUCACUCUCCCCAGAUUUCUCCAGUCCUACUUCUUCACCCUCUCUAGACCUCUCCAGUGUCAGUUCUUCAUCCUCACCAGAUAUUUCCAGUCACGACUCCUCAGCUUCCUUGGACUCCUAUACAAUCCCUCCACUCUCAUCAGGUGUCUCAGAGCAGACAUCUUCAAGCUCUUCAGACUCACUAGAUCUCACCAAUUUUAACUAUUUCAUGUUUCAAGGCUCCUCUGAAUUAUAUUCAUCAACCUCUGAGGAUGUUUCUAAUCUCAUUCCUACACCCUUUCUGGAUGUCUCCAAUCUCACCUUUCAGGAUGCUUCUUCCCUCACUUCGUCAGUUUCUUUGGACAUUUCUAAUCUCACAUCUUUAGUUCCCCCAGACCUAUCCACUCCCACAUUUCUGGAUGUUGCUAAUUGCACCACUUCAGCUUCUCUUGAUCUCUGCAUCUAA
ensembl:lncRNA